GAGUUUGAUCUUGGCUCAGGACGAACGCUGGCGGCGUGCUUAAUACAUGCAAGUCAACGAGAAACAGGGUGCUUGCAUCCUGUGGACAGUGGCGCACGGGUGCGUAACACGUAGGUAAUCUGCCCUUAGGACUGACAUAACUCCGGGAAACCGAAGCUAAUAUCAGAUAAUGCAGCGGCUCGGCAUCGAGACAGUUGUUAAAUCUUCGGAGCCUAAGGAUGAACCUGCGUCCCAUUAGGUAGUUGGUGAGGUAAAUGCUCACCAAGCCUGCGAUGGGUAGCUGGUCUGAGAGGAUGAUCAGCCACACUGGAACUGAGACACGGUCCAGACUCCUACGGGAGGCAGCAGUAAGGAAUAUUGCUCAAUGGGAGAAAUCCCGAAGCAGCAACGCCGCGUGGAGGAUGAAGGCAUAUUUGUUGU
rnacentral:rRNA from 1 species